AGUUAUAUUGCAAAUUAAUGCAUUUAUUAUAAAACAUAAAAAAUUUAAGUUCUAAGAUUCUACUGAACUAAAAAUAAUAACUUACAUGCAUGAAAAACCUCAUAUGCCAAGUUCAUAUUUAAUAACUAUUGGAUUCAUCUAACCAUAUAUAUAUACAUAUAUAUAUAUAUAUAUAUAUAUAUAUAUAUAUUUAAAUAUAUAAUUUAUGAAAAGAAAUUUGGAAUAUUUAUUAACAUGUUUUGACUAAGACUAAGGAAAUAUUCAAUCAUAAUAAUAAUCAAAAUCAAUAACAAAUAAAAAACAAUAUCUUGACAAGAUAUUAUAAGGUAAGGAAUUUAUUUUUAUAUUAUUUUGACUACAAUCCAAGAAAUUAAGCUCAAGGAUAUUUUGAUAAAAUUUUCAUUUUAUGCAAAUUUAUGUUAUUAUAUAUACAACAACAUAAAUCAAAAUAAAACACUAAACAAAAAUUAAGAAAAGUUCAUACAAAAUGAGUUUCUCCAAAAACAUAUUGAUCGCAUUUGUUUUCACCAUCUUCUUCCUAGUAUCUAAUGUUCAUUGCUACCCAGACUUUGAAGUAAAACAAGACUACAAAAAAUGCUACCUUCCGUGUAAACAAAUAGCCGAAGGAUGUGAGAGGUUUUGUGCAGCUAUGACCAUUCAGUUAGUUGGUGAAUGUAUUUCUGAUAUAUGUUGUUGUAGGUCAAAAAGGCCAAAUUAACAUUAUUAGAGAUUAUACAUUUUGUACCAGUGUCAAGAGUGCUAAUAAAGAUCCAAAUCAAUUAGCAAACUGAAGUUACUUUGAUAGAGAAAUUAUCUUUCCUUAAAAGAAAUAAGAAAUAUUAAUUCAA